CAGAGUUGCAAAACUCCCAACCAUUGUGAACCUACCUCACCGUUGCUUCGGCGGGUGGCCCGGGGCAACCCAGGCCGCGCCGGCACCCUUCUACGGGGGACCGGCAAGCCCCGCCUCUCAGAGUAGGGCAGCCCGAGUACAACCUGUAAUUACUGGUAUCUCUGAGUAAUAUACAAUAAGUUA
rnacentral:misc_RNA from 1 species